GUCAGUACAAAUUAUGUGUAUGUUAACCAAUUAAAAACCUGGACUGAAGCUCAGAGUUACUGCAGAGAGCAUCACACAGACCUCAUCAGUAUCAGGAAUGAGAAUGAAAACCAUGAGUUCCAGUAUUUGUUCAAGAGUGACUUUUAUUACUAUUUUUGGAUUGGACUGACCAGAACCAGAUCUUGGUCAGAUCAGAGCAACUCUUCAUUCAGUAACUGGAGGACAGGACAGCCAGAUAAUGCUGGAAACAGAGAAUACUGCACUGCAGUGUCAUUUAGUGACUCUGGGAGCUGGACAGAUGAAAACUGCGAUACUGCAUUUCCAUUCAUUUGCUACAGUGUGUCAUCUUUGACAUCAUCCCGUCAGUAUCACUUUGUGAAUGAGAAUAAGACCUGGACUGAAGCUCAGAGAUACUGCAGACAGAAUUACACUGAUCUGGCCACCAUUGAUAACAUGGAGGAAAUGAACAGUCUGAUCAACACAGUUAAUGGGAGUUACAGCGGCUCAGCCUGGAUUGGACUGUAUGAUGAUGUGAACAGCUGGAGAUGGUCAUUGGAAGACAAUGAUUUCUAUCAAGAAGGAGAGAGAGAUUUCAGGAACUGGUAUUAUCCACCGAGUAACUUUGUUGGAAAAGAAAUUUGUGUUUUCAUGUAUUGGGAUGUCUGGUUUAAAGUGCCAUGUGACAGUCCUGUGGCAUUUGUUUGCUAUGAUGGUAGAGAAAACGCCUCUCAGAAGUUUAUCUGGGAAGGUACUGGAAGGACCUGGACUGAAGCUCAGAGAUACUGCAGAGAGAAAUACACAGACCUGGCCAGUAUGAGAGAUGAGACAGAAAGUAGAGAGGUACUGAGU